UAGAGAAGCCAACUUGGUGGGUAGUCAAGAUGGAGCCUUGCCAAUAAGAGAACCCUCAUGAUUGAACUCUUUCCUGAGACAGAAACGAACCUGUAACUCUGACAUUAAAUCGAAGGGAAUUGACCAGGGGCCUCAGGCAAAAUGGCUCACUGUGUGGGAUGAUGGUCCUACCCACCUGAAUCCCCUGGAGGACAGUGUGAGAGCCAGGGAGCUACCUGCAGCUUCCUCAGUCACGUCUGGUGCAACGGCUGGUAGAUCAAGGAGCUGCUCUGCAGUGCCUACUAUCUUCAGGAUGAAAGAGUGUCUUCAGAUAACCUUGAUGCUAAUGGAGCAGAAGAGUGUCUCUGAGGUCAUGAUGGAAAGGCCAUAGCUUUG